AUGCUGAGAAAGGCGGUGACUGCGGAGCCCAAUGUGCACGGCGGGCGGGAAGGCCAGGCCGGAGGCCCCCAGGAAGAAGGCCUGCGCGUGGGGCCGGGGGACAUCGAGGCGCGCGUGGGUCUGAGCCGCGCUGACCUGCGCCCUCGGGCCUCCGGCCCCGAGAACAUGACCACGGCGCAGAACGGCCACGGGCGCGGAGCUGCGGUCCCUGAUGCCAUCUCUGAUCCCAAGGACUCCGGCAUGGGGACCCACCCGGCGUGCCGCAACGGCGGCUGCAGCGGCGGCGGCGCAGGCGCUCGGGAGGCGCGGCUCAGCCCGGCCCGCAUCCUGCGUCUCUUCUCUGCCGGCCCAGGCAGGACGCGCGCUGACCGCGAGCGGCCCCGGCCCGCCGGCCUCGUGGGCAGCUCGUCCACGUGGAACGCCCUGGCCUCCUUCCGGAAAAUGGGUUCUUUCAAAAAACUGAAGUCCUCGGUCCUCCAGGGGAUUCAGAACCGGGAGGGGUGGGAUAUGGCGAAGGAGGGAACCUUGGACCGCGAUCUGGGCAAGUCCGUCCCCAACGGCGCGGCGGCGGGGGCCCCUGCGGGCAAGUGUGCCCCUGGGCCCGGCUUCGCCUCCGACGGCUCAGACCCCGAGGAACCGGACGACGGCUUCGCGCGUAGUGCCCUCCGGUCGCGGAGCCUCCGUCGUGCCUACGGCCUGGGGCGCAUCCGCCUCCUCGACCCGGAGCCCCCUGGGCCGGUGGCGUGCGAGGCGCCGGAGCCGCCAGCACGCGAGCCCGAGCGGAAUGGUGUCUGCCGGCGCAGCAAGAGCACCGACAGCCUGACCUUCCUCGGGAAGAGCUCUUUCCGAAGGAAGUCUGCCUCGCACUUGGCCGAGCUGCGGGGCUCGCGAGAGGGCCGGGUGCCCCGCAGGACGCUGAGCGGCUCGUCCGCCGACUCUGACGGCUCGGCCGGGGGCCCCACGAGGCCCAGGCGCUGGAGGAGCCCGCUGCGGGUGCCCGACCUGGCUCGCGUGCUCCGGCUCGCGGGGGGUGGCACGGCCGGCCGGACUGGGGAACCCGGGAGCGCAGGGCCCGGGCCGCGACCGCUCAGCCGGCUGCACGAUGACUACUCCCGCCGCGCGGCUGCCGGCCCCGAGGGGUGCGGACGGGGGCGUGCGGAGCCCCGAGACCCUGGCCUGGUGGGUGCAGGCGGACCGCCCAGGGCAGCGGUCCCAGGAGGUGCCGCUCCUCGAGCCCAGGGCUCUCCGUCCAGCCCACCGGCCCGGGAGAUGUCGGACAGAGACUCCGAUGAACCGGGACCUGGCGACCGGUUUCCCUCCGAGCCUGAGCAUCCUCUCGGGCCUCUGAGGCCCACCACACCCAAGCCCCCCAGCCCUCGGAGCCCCGAUGCAGCAAGUGCCAAGUGUCCCAGCAGUGUCAGCGCGCUGUCCCUGAGCUCAGCAGACAGCGAGGAAAGGGCCGAGGGGCCUGCCCAGAGGGAGCAAGGUCUCGGGUCCUCCCAGGAGGCCGUGCCAGCCGCCUGUGACCAGGGCAGGGAGGACAGCGGCUCCAGGAGCCACGCUCAGCCCAGCCUUGGAGGGGCGUCUGGUCCAGAAGACAAGACAGAAGAGGUUGUGACCGAGGGGUCCUGGAGGCAGGCUCCCCCACCGGAGGAAGAGAGGACGGAGGCUCAGAGGAUCCCCAGGAAGAGACUGGGGUCUGGGAAGAGGUCGAGGCCCCGACCACUCUCUGACUAUGGCCAGCUGGUCGCCCGAAGUCUGUCUAUCCCAGAAGACUCGAUUGCCGUGGACCCCCAGAAAGAGGAUGCUGUGGACAGUGACCACCAGCCCAGCAUGGCCCCCACAGACCCUGCAGACCAGACUCCUGCUGGGGGCUGUCUCCAGGGGGGCCCAAGAAGACGCCCCAUCUCCGUGAUCGGUGGGGUCGGCUUCUAUGGGAGCAGCCAGACGGAGGAGGGGGAAGCCCUCCUGCCCCAACCCGCCGCCCGGCCGCCCGUGCCCGCACACCAGGUGCCGCCCUACAGAGCGGUGUCAGCCCGGCUGCGGCCCUGCGCCUUCUCCCAGAGCACCCCCAUUGGACUGGACCGUGUGGGACGCCGGCGGCACCUGAGAGCGUCCAACGUUUCUUCCGAUGGAGGUGCGGAGCCGUCUGCCCUAGUGGACGACAACGGCAGCGAGGAGGACUUCAGCUACGAGGACCUGUGUCGGGCCAACCCCCGAUACCUGCAGCCGGGUGGGGAGCAGCUGGCCAUCAACGAGCUGAUCGGCGAUGGCAGCGUGGUCUGCGCGGAGGCCCUGUGGGACCACGUGACCAUGGACGAACAGGAGCUGGGCUUCAAGGCGGGGGACGUCAUCCAGGUCCUGGAGGCUUCGCACAAGGACUGGUGGUGGGGCCGCAGCGCAGACAGGGAGGCAUGGUUCCCGGCCAGCUUCGUUCGGCUGCGCGUCAACCAGGAGGAGCUGUCAGAGGGCUCCAGCGGCAGCCCUGGCGAAGAGCAGGAGGAGGACACGGGUAGGGCCCGCCACAAGCACCCCGAGAGCAAGCAGCAGAUGCGGGCCAACGUGGUCCAGGAGAUCAUGGACACUGAGCGCGUGUACAUCAAGCACCUCCGGGACAUCUGCGAGGGCUACAUUAGACAGUGUCGUAAGCAUACGGCAAUGUUCUCGGUUGCACAACUGGCCACCAUUUUCGGAAACAUUGAAGACAUUUACAGAUUCCAAAGAAAGUUCUUGAAAGACCUUGAGAAGCAGUACAAUAAAGAGGAACCUCACCUGAGUGAAAUAGGGUCCUGCUUCCUUCAGCACCAAGAGGGCUUCGCCAUCUACUCGGAGUAUUGCAACAACCACCCGGGCGCCUGCGCGGAGCUGGCAGGCCUGAUGCGGCAGCGCCGCUACCGGCACUUCUUCGAGGCCUGCCGGUUGCUCCAGCAGAUGAUCGACAUCGCGCUGGACGGCUUCCUGCUGACGCCCGUGCAGAAGAUCUGCAAGUACCCGCUGCAGCUGGCCGAGCUGCUCAAGUACACCGCGCCGGAGCACAGUGAUUACGAAAAUAUAAAGGCAGCAUACGAGGCCAUGAAGAAUGUUGCCUGCCUGAUCAAUGAGCGGAAACGCAAGCUGGAGAGCAUAGACAAGAUCGCGCGGUGGCAGGUGUCCAUCGUGGGCUGGGAGGGCCAGGACCUCCUGGAGCGCAGCUCGGAGCUGAUCCACUCCGGGGAGCUGACCAGCGUCACGCGGCAGGGCAGGAGCCAGCAGCGCACCUUCUUCCUGUUCGACCACCAGCUGGUGUUCUGCAAGAAGGACCUGCUGCGCAGGGACGUGCUCUACUACCGCGGCCGCACCGACACAGACACCGUCGAGCUGGUGGACCUGGAAGACGGCCGCGACGGUGCCCGCGGGCCGGGCCUCAGGAACGCCUUCAGGCUGGCCAGCCGCACGGGCGACGAGGUGCACCUGUUCUGCGCCAGGAAGCCCGAGGACAAGGCACGGUGGCUGCAGGCCUUCAGGGACGAGCGCCGGCGGGUGCAGGAGGACCGGGCGCUGGGAAUGGAAAUUUCAGAAAAUCAGAAGAAACUCGCCAUGUUAAAUGCUCAAAAGGCAGCACACGGAAAGUCAAAAGGCUACGGCGGCUGCCCCACGGCCCCCCCGCUCCAGAGCCUGCGGCCGGUUCACCAGCGCCACGUCACCGUGCCCAGCAGCCUGCCGCAGCAGCAGGUGUUCGCCCUGGCCGAGCCCAAGAGGAAGCCGUCGCUCUUCUGGCACACCUUCAACAAGCUCGCCCCCUUCAGGAAGUGA
rnacentral:lncRNA from 1 species